GUCCCUACCAAUGGAUGAGCCACAGCCCUAGGUCUGCGUUAGGGAUGAAAAGAUGAAGAACUUCUCUGUAGCCCACUCUUGGCUGGCCGCUUCUGCUGCCGCUACCGCCCUACUCAUCAGAAGUAAAGAUUUUGCCUUGACAAUUUGCAGUGUCUGUUUUCUUGACGACACCGCGGUUACUUCCAACAAUUUGGGGGCUCGUCUGGGAUCGCCCAUUCCUUUUGGAAGGAGAACUCCAUCCCUGCUCCUGGGGUAAACGCGUCCUGCUACCUCAUUGUGACAGCCCUUGGGAUCGAGGUGAUCCAGACUCCCCAAAACGGUGAAUGAACCCAGGCUCUCGGCAACACAGGGAAAAGGCCUGAGCAGGAACCGUGGCGACCAGGUAACACUGUGCACAGACCAAGGUAGGCAUGUUGACUUCAGUAAACACUGGCGCCACUUACUCUGCUCUCCUGGAAUUUUCAUGACCUGUUUCCCUCUCCUAGCUCCAUCAUCAGAGUGAAAGACAGGAGGAGAAGAUGGCAUCUCUUGGAAACACAACAGGGUGCAAUGAAAGCUUGGCCUUCAAGAAGCUACAGGAUCAGUCUGCCCUCUCCAUACCCCGAGGAGAUGUCUGCUGGUAUUGUAAAGACCGACAAUUUGAGGUCCUACCGAAAAGCUGGAGUGGCACCUGCCCUUUGGUGCAAUUGACCAUCCCUUUUACCUUUGUGUUCCAUCAGCUCCCAGUUGAGGAAAGGGGUCAUCAGACAAAAAGAGAAAUAAAUACUCCCAGAGGAUCUUUUGAUCCCCAUAUUUUUAUUGAUACUAUUGGAGUCCUCAGAGGGGUACCAAAUGAAUUCAAAGCUAGAAAUCAAAUAGCUGCUGGAUUUGAAUCUUUAUUCCUUUGGUGGUCCACUACAAAUAAAAAUGUAGACUGAAUCAACUACAUAUACUAUAAUCAGCCAAAAUUUAUAAAUUAUACUAAGGAUGCCAUCAAAAGUAUAGCCAAACAACGAAGGCCCACCAAUAAAAUGACCUGAAAAAAUAGAAUGGCUUUAAAUAUAACGUUACUGGAAAAAAGUGAAAUGUGUGUCAUGAUUAGAGUCUGGUACUGCACUUAUAUCCCCAACACAGCUUCGGAUGGCACAAUCACCAAAGCUCUGCAAAAACUUACUACCUUGGCUAAUGACCUAGCUGAAAACUCAGGGAUAGAUGACCGUUCCACUAGCCUCGUAGAGCAGUGGUUUAGAAAGUGAAAAGGGUUGAUGACAUCAGUACUACCUUCCUUAGUUAUUGUAUUUAGUGUCUUAAUAUUAAUGAAAUGUUAUUAAUAAAAACGGCCUUAACUAAACAACCUCUUCCGCAUCCAUAUAAAGCAAGUUGUUACUAUUAAAAGACCAAGAACACCAAAGCCAGCUCCCCUUCACUGAAUUUGGAGAAAAGAGUAAAAAAGUCUAAUAUAAAAGGGGGGGAAAUUGUAGGAGGAGGUGACCGCAGCCUAAUCUUUUCCGCCAAAAGGAUAUUAUGUCUGAUAUCCAGCUUUAAAUAAUUAUUAGCACAGAGCACAAACUGUACAAUAACAAUAACCUUGAUUUAAUCUCCUUUAUUACAAUACCAAAACCCCCGACAUUUACUAACUUUAACUUUCUUAUUCUUGUUUUUACCCCCACAACACGCCUUAGCCAAUCGGAUAAGGGCAAGAUUGUGAGAUCCAAGUCCCUACCAAUGGGGUGAGACACAGCCCUAGGUCUGCAUUAGGGAUAAAAAGAUGAAGAACUUCCCUGUAGCCCACCGUUGGCUGGCUGCUUUUGCUGCCGCUAUGCGCCCUUCUGAUCAGAAGUAAAGAUUUUGCC